CCUACGGGAGGCAGCAGUAGGGAAUAUUGCUCAAUGGGGGAAACCCUGAAGCAGCAAUGCCGCGUGAAGGAUGAAGGUUUUCGGAUUGUAAACUCCUUUUGUUAGAGAAGAUAAUAACGGUAUCUAACGAAUAAGCACCGACUAACUCCGUGCCAGCAGCCGCGGUAAUACGGAGGGUGCGAGCGUUACUCGGAAUUACUGGGCGUAAAGAGCGCGUAGGCGGGAUAGCAAGUCAGAUGUGAAAGCCUAUGGCUUAACCAUAGAAGUGCAUUUGAAACUGUUAUUCUUGAGUAUGGGAGAGGUAGGUGGAAUUCUUGGUGUAGGGGUGAAAGGCGUAGAGAUCAAGAGGAAUACUCAUUGCGAAGGCGACCUGCUAGAACAUAACUGACGCUGAUGCGCGAAAGCGUGGGGAGCAAACAGGAUUAGAUACCCGUGUAGUC
rnacentral:rRNA from 1 species